GACGAACGCUGGCGGCGUGGCUAACACAUGCAAGUCGAGCGAGCGAAUCUCCUUCGGGAGUGAAGCUAGCGGCGGACGGGUGAGUAACACGUGGGCAACCUAACUCAUAGAGGGGAAUAGCCUUUCGAAAGGAAGAUUAAUACCGCAUAAGAUUGUAGCUUAGCAUGAAUGAGCAAUUAAAGGAGCAAUCCGCUAUGAGAUGGGCCCGCGGCGCAUUAGCUAGUUGGUGAGGGAAUGGCUUACCAAGGCGACGAUCAGUAGCCGACUUGAGAGAGUGAUAGGCCACAUUGGGACUGAGACACGGCCCAAACUCCUACGGGAGGCAGCAGUGGGGAAUAUUGCACAAUGGGCGCAAGGCUGAUGCAGCGACGCCGCAUGAGGGAUGAAGGCCUUCGGGUUGUAAACCUCUUUCGUCAGGGAAGAAGCGAAAGUGACGGUACCUGAAGAAGAAGCACCGGCUAACUACGUGCCAGCCGCCGCAGUAAUAC
rnacentral:rRNA from 1 species